rnacentral:lncRNA from 1 species
GAAAGACCUAGAGAAUCACCUCACUUUCAUUGUUGACUCUGAGCCUGGUUGGAACCUUUGAGCACAAAAAGGAGUUGAGAGUAGACUCCACACUGACGUCGGCCUAGCAGCCUGAACUACACCAACGCAGCCCUGUGCACGUAUGUAGAGGCUGGUGGGGGUGGGGGGUUCUUUGUGCUGCCAGUGAAUUCCUCAGAAUAGAAUUGUGCAUGAAAAACCUCUUAGGAAAAUCAGAUUGCGGUUCUGCAGGGCAUUUUGAACACCACCUUUAUUCUUAAUUAUCACUUUUCCACAUGAUGAUGAGUUAGGAAAUCAGACAGGAAAGGUAAUGCCUGUGUGUGGAGAAGCUCUGGCCUGACCUAGUUAGAGACUCCCCCAGGCCCUGGAGGUGGUGCACGCCCCAGGACCCGGAGCUGGCCCUCACCUUUCAAAUAUUAGGUUGGUGUAAAACACACAGAGGCUCUGGCAACUGGCAGCACUGUGCCAUGCACAGGGGCCUCACACCGUCCAAACAAGAGCGCCUGUGUUGCCGUUGAGAUCCAUACCCAUGUUUGUGACAUUCCAAAUUCUGCCCUGAAUAUCACUGGAGUCCCUUGGUGUAGUCAGCAGAUCUCUCUCCCUCAAAGAUAAGGCUCUGCUCUGCAUUGAACUCACAUUUCUCUCCAAAGAAAGCAGCUUGUCCGUGUCGUUUCUUCACCAUGUAAGUGUGUGCUGUUCUGUCUUACUUGGGCAUUUUGCAGACCAAUCAGGUCUAAACAGAGCUCUGGUUGAAUGAAAUAUGAUUUUUAUCUUGGGCUCCCAUAUAAUUUUGCCCUCAGCUCUGGGAGGAGCCACCCUGGACACCAGCCUAGGAAUCAGACCGUUGGCUUGCUUCUUUCUUUACGUGCAGUCCCUGGCCCACCUGAAUAAGAGCCACCAGGAGGAGCGUCAGAUGGCCCAGGCUCUCCAGCCUGCUGAUUUGGGUGCUCAUGGGCUCGGGAAUCAGCCUGUCAGCAAGCCUUCUUGGAUUCCUAGGAGCCCCAGCGUGUGAGGACAAGCUCAGGUUGUAGACUUCCUCUUCUGCACUGGGGCGGGCUGUGGGUCCUGGAGUGUGGCUCCUGUUUCAGCUGCAGCCCUGCAGACAGCUCUCUGUCUCCUGCCUUCCAUCCCUGUCCCUGUUUGCAGUGGCUUCCUGCUGAACUUUCAUUCAAACCCAGCCAUUGUUUUCUUCUCCCACACAAACAGGUCGCUGGACUCCUGGGCUGCCCAGUAAGAGGGAUUAGCAGGCCUCCAGUGCCUAGCAACAGUCCCGCCUCCAGCGCCUAGCAACAGACCCGCCUUCUGCACCUAGCAACAAUCCUGCCCUCUGCACCUAGCAACAGAGCCACCUCCGCUGCCUCAGGCUGUGCUUUGCAGUCCUCGGAAGAGACUUCAUCUCCUUAGCAGGAAGUCCCAGCAGGACAGCCUGUGCCCACCAGGGGGACGUCUGCCGCUCUUCCGCAGCUGUGAAUUGGGGAAUGGGCUGAUGUCUCCGUGGAGGCACCGUGUGGGCAGAGGCCUGGUUCCCUGUGGAUUGCGCUGGUCCUCCCCGGGCUGUGCAGAGGGCCUCCUGGGCACCUGCACACUCUGGAAGGCCUCUGUGAGCUCCAGGAGGGGUGUGGGCCCUGCCUCUGCCCCCUGGAUCCAGGUGGGCUCUGAGGCAGGCCUGGCUCCUUGCCUGGGGCAACAGCACUCCUGCAGGGGCACUCCCCACACAAGCUUAUUCCUAGGCACCCAGGCUAAAAAGACUUCUAGACACUUCCUUGGCCAAUAGAGUCCUGACACUUUAGAGAUUUUUCCUCAUUUGAUCUUGACAAUGUGGUAUGAAGUAGGCACAUUUACUAUCCUCAUUUUACAGAUCAGGAAGGGAAGCACAGAGAGGCUAAGAACUUUCCCAAGCUCACACAGCUAGCAAGUGUGAUUGACAUCCACUAUCAGGCAGCCUGGUUCCCAGGUCUUUGCUGUGCCCCUUUCCUACCCUACCCAGGUGAUGCUUUCUGUGAGUCAGAAACCCCAGCAUGACAAGGAAAUGGCGACUUGCAUAAUUAAAAAUGGCAAAUAUAAAAAAUCAUAAUAUUGGACUUUGGAUGUUUUAGUGAAGGUAGGUAGAGCAGGGUUUGCCAAAGUCUAGUGGUUUUAAUUCCCUUUCGCCAAGCAGAGCAGUUGGUUGGAAUUCUCUCUGACACCCCAGGGGCUGCAUGGAGUUGGGACAGAGUCCUAGGGAGCAACAGUAGUUUUAAAAUUUGUUACAACAUAAACAUCUGUCAAUCACAGGAUGAUCUAAUAAACAGCUGCAGCACAUAUGUACAGUGGGCACUUUUACACAAUGGAAUAGUACUACCAAGAGGGAGAAGCAGAUCCCGUCACCAUGUGCAGGGGUCUCCAAGUCAGCAGGGGAGAGAGCACACUGGGUACAGGAGUGUGGCACCCAUCAUCUCUCUGGCCCACGCAGUACUUCCAGAAUGAGAAGCUCGGUCCCGGGGCCCAGAGAUCAGGAUUUGAGGGGCCCAGUUUCUGUCGUGCUGUUUAGUCUCUUACUCUGAGCCAACAUCAUUUUCAACAUUCCAUAUUUUUUGCUACAGAUCAUAAUUUAUGAAAUGAGAGCAAUUGGGAACUGGCUGUAAGCACCCAAGGAACAGAACGAAUACCCCAAUUUGCAAAAUUAAAAAUCAAACAAGUACCUAAUUUACAUGCUGUUAAUCAACAAAGUGGGCAUAUGUAGUCAGAUAAUCAAAAUUGAUUGUGUGUGUUUAGAGCAAGAUUUUUUUUCCAGCCAGGGCCCACGGGGGGUUCUAGGAGUCUUUGAAACCCUCAGAAUGGUGCACAGAUAUUUUGUUAAUUUUGGCCUGAUUAGCUUAUAAGGAGGGUAUCCAAGGCUUUUAGUUAAUUCUUACACAGGUUCAUGAUGCAUAAAAGCUAACCACCAGCCAAGGUGCUGGGGAAAUGACCUUGAUAGAAAAAACUAGCAUUCCAAGCUUAGUUCUCUGGUGAGCCAGCAGCCACGCCCAGUCAGGUGGGAGGCCACUGGUCCCUAGGUCAACGCUGGCUGCAUUGACAUGCUGCCCAUGGCUCCUAUGCAGUUCUUACUUGUGACACAUGGUCGCAUCAGGCUGCAGGACUGCGUUGGUGGGGUGCACCAGGACCCUCAUCCAGCCCUCUGUGGUGGAAGGGGCUUAUUCUUCACACCUGACAGGUGGUCCAUAGGAUCUGGCUUUGAUCCACACUUGAUGUGGCUACAGCACCCCUGGGCACGGGGUCCACUUUACAGGUAGGAAGAAAGGCAAAGGUGGUGCGCACUGUGAUCCCAGCAGCUCAGGAGGCUGAAGGAUCUCAAGUUCAAAGCCAGCCUUAGCAAAAGGGAGGCCCUAAGCAACUUAACAAGACCCUGUCUCUAAAUAAAAUAUAAAAAGGGCUGGGGGUGUGGUUCAGUGGCUGAGUGCACUUGGGUUCAAUCCCUAAUACCCAAAAAGGAGGAGGAAGGAGGAAGGAGGAGAAAGAAGGAGGAGGAGGAGAGGAGUAAAGGUCGUGGAACUGCCAACCGAGUCUCUCUUUACAAGGGCAGCAGAAACCCUGCCUCCGUAGCACUGCCCAGAGUCCCCUGCACGUGGUCGGGCGGGACUGCAGCACGGGCAGCCCCCUGGUUACAGAAAGCCUGGGCUGGGUGUGGAGGGCCUCUGGUUGACUGAAAGUCACCCUAAACUGCAGAGACUCCUUUAGUGUGGAAGGACAGGGGCCAGCAGAGACUGUGGGCCCCGGGUUGAGUCUGUCCCUGUGGCUCGGGGGAGUGUGCCUGAGUCUGCCUUCUCCAGAGCUGGAGCAUGGAUCAGAGAAUCAACUGGGCCUAAAACUGGCCCAAUACCUGCAUUGUGAGAGUGCAGCCCGAGUUACCACCCCUGGCUGCACCCACGAUCCUGAAAUCCAGAAUGAGAGCCGUGACUUGAUGUUUCCCUCUUCAGGUCUCAUUCUGACACAGGCACAGGACAGCUGGGACUUCGUGAAGGAUCCUGAUGGAAGCAAAAUGCACUUUAAUAAAAAUGAGGUGCAAGAAAAGAAGAAAUGAAGUAACCAAGCGGGCCUGAGUCACUUCCACUGUGGGCGCGGACUGUCACAGCCUACCUCUGCUGUCAACAAGGCCUCUGAUCACUGUCCUCACUGUGAAGAAAACAGGUGUCUUUUCUCCGAGCCUUUCCGCCGGAAGCCACCAGGACACCGGGGAUGCAUUUCCCAGCUGCGGACACUGAGGCCUGGUGGCGGGCAGGGUAGGAGCAUGCUCGCCAGCUGGGCCGUUCGAAGGAGCAGUGGGCAGAGUCGGGGAGAGUCUGGGGCUGGGGGGUCAACAGGCCUGCAAGGUAGGAGGAGUGCCCUCAUCACAGCCGCAGGUCUCCCUGAGCAUAGAACUCAAGUCUGAGAAGGCGAAACCCGCUUCUUAUUCCUGCCAUGCUGUCUGAGACGCCAAGGGACGGUGCCUCCCUCUGUGACACAGCUGGCCUCCUGGGAUCACCCGCUCCUGUCACCCCCUGCAAACAGCCCCAGGCCCCCGGGAACCUACAGGCUGACUUGUAUCUGUACAGCAUGAUGUUUCUCCAGAGGCCAAGAACUCACGAGUUCAUAGCAAAGCUCCAACAUAAAAGUAUAUAAUAUAUAUAUAUAUAUAUAUAUAUAUAUAUAUAUAUAUAUAUAUAUAUAUAUAAAAUAUAGAAGUAAAAGCUCUCUCCCCCUUGAACAGCCUCUGCCAUCUCUACAUGGACUCCAGAAGUAUUAAUUUGAAAACCUCAUAUUUUAAAGAGACACUACUGUAAAGGACAGCCUUUCCCUUCUUCCUCUUCUUCUCACAACAGAAUGGCCAUCCCAAGCAUGGCGGGCACUGUCUAGACCGCGUUUAGCGCACGGAGAAAGAAGUUAUUACCCACAGUCCAAGAAGAGGAAAAUUUCCUUAGUCUCCAAAAGGAGAAAGCUCUGAACACGUGAGCCCCCGCUCAGCUUCGGUUCGAAGUGCUCCAGGAUGGCUCUGGAUCACGCUGCUCUUUCCUGGUCACACAGAUGGCAUUUUUUACAUCAUACCAAGUAGCUUUGAUUUUUAUUUUCUAUCCACGCAAGGGAAAAACCAGGCAGUAUUUCGGAAGCUGUGAUUCUGGGAAUUGUGGGUCCUUUCUUUAAAGUUCUGAGACUAAAUUGAAAUCCAGGUUUCCUUAAAAUAAAUAUCCUUUGUUAUCACAGCUCUGAAAUAUCUGAAAAGUGGUCUGUUUCCCGCAGCUCGAUCCUUGAGACGACAUCGAAGCAGCUUGUGAAUCUUUAAAAGGUCCCUGG